rnacentral:rRNA from 1 species
CGGGAAAAGCUCAAAUUUAAAAUCUGGCAGUCUUUGGCUGUCCGAGUUGUAAUCUAGAGAAGCAUUAUCCGCGCUGGACCGUGUACAAGUCUCCUGGAAUGGAGCGUCAUAGAGGGUGAGAGCCCCGUCU